rnacentral:rRNA from 1 species
UACGGGGGGAGCAAGCGUUGUUCGGAUUUACUGGGCGUAAAGGGCGCGUAGGCGGCCAGCACAAGUCAGUUGUGAAAUCUCCGAGCUUAACUCGGAAAGGUCAACUGAUACUGUGCGGCUAGAGUGCAGAAGGGGCAACUGGAAUUCUUGGUGUAGCGGUGAAAUGCGUAGAUAUCAAGAGGAACACCUGCGGCGAAGGCGGGUUGCUGGGCUGACACUGACGCUGAGGUGCGAAAGCGUGGGGAGCAAACAGG